CUAAGAAGCAGAUGCACCCUCAGGAAAAGAAGAACUGGGCAGGGGAAUCAUCAAUCACAGAAGCUGCCUGAGAUUAACAAGGAGCCAGUUUUUCAAACAUCCUGCAGUAAACCCAGAGGAAAUCCAGCUGGAACUGCAACUCGAACACAGGCAACUGACUCUAAAAGUAUCCUCUGUCCCUUCACCCUCACCUUCCCUUUUGGCAUAACACCUGCACCUAGGGUCACUUCUAACUGGUUCAAGUUCUGCAGCUAUAUGCCAUCCACUGAAACUCACUGACUGACACAUAUAUGCUCUCAAGCUUACUGCAGUUACAGGAACACAGGAAUAAACUGGUGUGUGCAGCAGGAUUCAUGCAAACCCAUUCUACUUUGCAUUGGAAGGUGUAACACGUACUUGGUGCACUUCUUUUCAGUCGAGACCCUGUAACGAUGGUGCACUUCCUUGUGGCAUUCUCAAAAACCAGAAAGGCUUUUUUCUUUCCACUGAAGCACUGGGGGGCAGACUCUACUACUGUUAAGAGCACAGAGUUACAAGAAACACAAACACAGUGGAAGCACAAGAAUCAAAUUGUAUUUUGAGGAGGCGCAUUUUUCCCUCCCACAUGUAUUAAUGAGUUUUAUCAAGGUCACCUCUUUUUUUCAGUGCCCACUGUUUACCUGUCCUGAAGUAG